GACACAUGUUAACCUUUCACCUAGCAAUAAGAAACAUUCACACUAUAUUUAUGUAACAUAGGAUAAGCUAGUUUGCGACAAUCACCUCACCAAAACCCUGUAAAUGUAAACACCUUCCAUCAUAAGCAGUUAGAUAUCAACUUAUGAACUGAUAAUGAAUAGCAUCAUGUCAUGUAUAAAAAUCUAGACUAAGCUUAUGUAGGAAAACACAAUAAGAAGAUGAUAAUUUCUUAGUGAGGAUUGGAAAUCAUAACUGCACUAGUGGUAAAUGAGCCCCUAAUUGGUCUGAUCAUUGCUAUCCUUCCCACACGGCAACUCUGUGCAUUUGCACAC
rnacentral:misc_RNA from 1 species